UCUGCUUCAAGGACGCUUCCUCCUGAUUCUCCUGAAGCCAGGCAGAGGGUCCCCACGUCCCACUGCUCUCGUGUGUGUGUCGCAGGCUGUUCUUCACAGAAACUACCCAUAGUGUCUCUCAUGAUUGGUGAGAUUUGAGGUACAAUGGGAACAGAAGAAUGGACGAAGCAGGUAGAACAAGCUCACAGAGGGCAAACAGGUCCAAUUCAGAGAAGGGCUGCAAACCACCAUCUCAGGAAGAAUCCCAGACGAGCAGAGGAUGUUUUAUGGGAGAAG